rnacentral:rRNA from 1 species
UGAGCAAUCUGCCCUUCUCUUCGGAAUAAGCGUUGGAAACGACGUCUAAUGCCGAAUACGACCUCCUUUCGCAUGAUCGGAGGUGGAAAGCUCCGGCGGAGAAGGAUGAGCUCGCGGCCUAUCAGCUAGUUGGUGUGGGUAAUGGCCCACAAGGCGACGACGGGUAGCCGGCCUGAGAGGGUGACCCGGCCACACGUGGGACUGAGACACGGCCCAGUACUUCCCGUAACGGGGA